CCUACGGGUGGCAGCAGUGAGGAAUAUUGGUCAAUGGACGAGAGUCUGAACCAGCCAAGUAGCGUGAAGGAUGACUGCCCUAUGGGUUGUAAACUUCUUUUAUAUGGGAAUAAAAUGUUCCACGUGUGGGAUUUUGUAUGUACCAUAUGAAUAAGGAUCGGCUAACUCCGUGCCAGCAGCCGCGGUAAUACGGAGGAUCCGAGCGUUAUCCGGAUUUAUUGGGUUUAAAGGGAGCGUAGGUGGAUUGUUAAGUCAGUUGUGAAAGUUUGCGGCUCAACCGUAAGAUUGCAGUUGAAACUGGCAGUCUUGAGUACAGGAGAGGUGUGCGGAAUGCGUGGUGUAGCGGUGAAAUGCUUAGAUAUCACGAAGAACUCCGAUUGCGAAGGCAGUUCACUGGACUGCAACUGACACUGAGGCUCGAAAGUGUGGGUAUCAAACAGGAUUAGAUACCCCUGUAGUC
rnacentral:rRNA from 1 species